rnacentral:rRNA from 1 species
GGACGAUACCCUCGCGGGGACCGAGGUCCGCGCUCCGCAAGGAUGCUGGGCGUAAUGGUCAUCAGUGACCCGUCUUGAAACACGGACCAAGGAGUCGUCCAUUAGAGCGAGCGUUUGGGUGUAAAACCCGCACGCGUAAUGAAAGUGAACGCAGGUGAGAGCUUCGGCGCAUCAUCGACCGAUCCUGAUGUUCUCGGAAGGAUUUGAGUAAGAGUUUUAACGGACGGACCCGAAAGACAGUGAACUAUGCUUGUAUAGGGUGAAGCCAGAGGAAACUCUGGUGGAGGCUCGCAGCGGUUCUGACGUGCAAAUCGAUCGUCAAAUAUGAGCAUGGGGGCGAAAGACUAAUCGAACUGUCUAGUAGCUGGUUACCGCCGAAGUUUCCCUCAGGAUAGCAGUGUU